AUCGCAGUCUGCAACUCGACUGCGUGAAGGUGGAGUCGCUAGUAAUCGCGGAUCAGCAACGCCGCGGUGAAUGCGUUCCCGGGCCUUGUACACACCGCCCGUCAAGUCAUGAAAGUGGGCAGCACCCGAAGACGGUGGCCUAACCCUUGUGGGGGGAGCCGUCUAAGGUGAGGCUCGUGAUUGGGACUAAGUCGUAACAAGGUACC
rnacentral:rRNA from 1 species